rnacentral:rRNA from 1 species
UGAACGCUGGCGGCGUGCCUAAUACAUGCAAGUCGAGCGAACGGACGAGAAGCUUGCUUCUCUGAUGUUAGCGGCGGACGGGUGAGUAACACGUGGAUAACCUACCUAUAAGACUGGGAUAACUUCGGGAAACCGUAGCUAAUACCGGAUAAUAUUUUGAACCGCAUGGUUCAAAAGUGAAAGACGGUCUUGCUGUCACUUAUAGAUGGAUCCGCGCUGCAUUAGCUAGUUGGUAAGGUAACGGCUUACCAAGGCAACGAUGCAUAGCCGACCUGAGAGGGUGAUCGGCCACACUGGAACUGAGACACGGUCCAGACUCCUACGGGAGGCAGCAGUAGGGAAUCUUCCGUAAUGGGCGAAAGCCUGACGGAGCAACGCCGCGUGAGUGAUGAAGGUCUUCGGAUCGUAAAACUCUGUUAUUAGGGAAGAACAUAUGUGUAAGUAACUGUGCACAUCUUGACGGUACCUAAUCAGAAAGCCACGGCUAACUACGUG